ensembl:lncRNA novel transcript
AAUGCUUGUCAGCAGCCACUAACUCAGCAGAUGAUCUCCAUGAAGACUGAAUGAAAACACUACAAGAACAAGAAUCAUCAAAAGAGCCUAUCAAGAUUCUAGUUUGUAACCAACAGAUGUCUACAGAAAGAAAACAUGUAAAUACUGAGGCUGAGCCUUGAGGAUAAGGUGUUAAAAACUAUUGGAAAUGCAAGGACACAAGCAGCAGAGUAAAAAAGCAACCUACAGAAUGGGAAAGAACAUUUGCAAAUCAUAUAUGUGAUAGGGAGUUAGUAUCUAGAAUAUAUAAAAUUCUGCAACUCAACAAAAACAAAGUUCUGGAGAUUGGUUGUGCAAUAUUGUGAAUACAGUUUACACUACUGGACUGUAAAAUGGUUAAGAUAUUAAAC